GGUAAAUUCGCAAAAAUAACUUCGUACAACCCAAGCCCAAACGGAUCGGCCGUAUAACUGAGGCCGCUUUAUUAUAUCACCGUGCCGUCUGUCUCUUUCGUUGACUUAUAUUACGGUAAAGUAUCACACCAACCUAAUUUGAUCGUGAAGCAGAGCUGUUCCGAAGAAUACCCAUUCAGCCCCGCCACCGGUCGGUAGCUC